UGCGAGUUAGUUAUUCUGGAGAAUACGCGGGCCUCAUAAGCCUGAUUAGGUGAGUUCGAUCCUCACACUCGCAACCA
rnacentral:tRNA from 1 species